rnacentral:rRNA from 1 species
AUUGAACGCUGGCGGCAGGCCUAACACAUGCAAGUCGAACGAGUGGCGGACGGGUGAGUAAUGUCUGGGAAAAGGCCUGAUGGAGGGGGUUAAGUACGGGAAACGGAAGCUAAUACCGCCUACCAGCGGAUGUGCCCAGAUGGGAUUAGCUAGUCGGUGGGGUAACGGCUCACCUAGGCGACGAUCCCUAGCUGGUCUGAGAGGAUGACCAGCCACACUGGAACUGAGACACGGUCCAGACUCCUACGGGAGGCAGCAGUGGGGAAUAUUGCACAAUGGGCGCAAGCCUGAUGCAGCCAUGCCGCGUGUAUGAAGAAGGCCUUCGGGUUGUAAAGUACUUUCAGCGGGGAGGCGUUACCCGCAGAAGAAGCACCGGCUAACUCCGUGCCAGCAGCCGCGGUAAUUC